rnacentral:snoRNA from 1 species
CAGGAUCUAUGAUUCAACUGUUAAACUGUGUUAUCUUUCCUUGAACCUUUUAAGGUUCUGAAGAAUGCAUUACCUGCUGAGAUCCAUG